AGUAACGGGCAAACUGGAUGUGGUCUCUGGCGCUUUGGUUUAUUUCAGAUGCACUCUUCAUGGCCUGUUGGGUGACAAGGACAGUCUGAAGCGGUGACUCAAGUCUUCCUCAUGGGAACGGGACCGAUUUGGAGACGGAGAAGAACACUGAUGUUUGCAGGUGCUAUGUGAUGAGUGAAUUGCAGAAACUGCCCAGUGCUGUAUAAUUGAAGCAGUCAAGGAGAUGGCAGAAAAAAUGGUGUGCACCCAUCCUCCUGGGAAAUCCCACCCCGUGAAGAUGAGCUGAGAAAACCAAGGGGCUCAAAGCUGAAGAGUGUUUCAUUUUGGUCUGGUGAUCAUCAAGUGCACUUCUAGAUACAGUACACAAUCAACAUUUCCACGGAGGAUCCAUGCUGUCCAGAGCAAAUCAGCGACAGGGAAUUUCAUUGCUGGUUUUUAUCAGGCACAUCUCCGGGUUGGUCUCUUCUCAUGUCAACUCCUAACUGGCACCAGACCCUAGGAAAGAUACAAGCGUGGCCCUCCAGAGCCUGGACUAGAGGGAGAAACUAUUGCAGAAACUGUGGGGAUGUGGGUAGAACAAAGGUAUCUUUAAACUUUUUGCUCUGUUUCUACUGCUAACUACAUUUGUAAUUUACAUAAGCUUCCACUUGACAUAUUAUCUUCUUGUCCAGGAAUUAUUAUAUAAUUAUAAAUUAUAAUUCAUGUCCAGGAAUUAAAUACAAAGAAGAGACCGAUACAUGAAUAUUUACUGGUUGAUUCAAAUCCUUACUGAUAACAAGUACUUUAUUUUUUUCCUUCUUCUAUGCCCAGAGGACUUAAUAUUGAACAUUUAUUGUUAUACUUGUUUGUCAUGGCGUUCAAAACCAGACCUAAUUUCUUUCAGCACCCUAGUGUUAAUAUUAGUUAUAUUUACACUUUUAAAAGAGAAUUUCACCUGAAUACUGUACUCACAUUAUUUCUGUCCCUCUUUCUCCCCAGAUCCUCCCAUGCUCUCCCUCAAAUAAAUGGCCUCUUCUUCUGUAGUUGUACACUCACGCACAUACACACAAAUCACCAUUUGACAUGGCUAAUAUGUACAUAUGUUUAGGGAUGGCUAUGUUGGAUUGGAUAACCUA